rnacentral:rRNA from 1 species
GAUGAACGCUGGCGGCGUGCCUAAUACAUGCAAGUCGAGCGAACGGACGAGAAGCUUGCUUCUCUGAUGUUAGCGGCGGACGGGUGAGUAACACGUGGAUAACCUACCUAUAAGACUGGGAUAACUUCGGGAAACCGUAGCUAAUACCGGAUAAUAUUUUGAACCGCAUGGUUCAAAAGUGAAAGACGGUCUUGCUGUCACUUAUAGAUGGAUCCGCGCUGCAUUAGCUAGUUGGUAAGGUAACGGCUUACCAAGGCAACGAUGCAUAGCCGACCUGAGAGGGUGAUCGGCCACACUGGAACUGGGACACGGUCCAGACUCCUACGGGAGGCAGCAGUAGGGAAUCUUCCGCAAUGGGCGAAAGCCUGACGGAGCAACGCCGCGUGAGUGAUGAAGGUCUUCGGAUCGUAAAACUCUGUUAUUAGGGAAGAACAUAUGUGUAAGUAACUGUGCACAGCUUGACGGUACCUAAUCAGAAAGCCACGGCUAACUACGUG